rfam:Gasterosteus aculeatus cont1.000557, whole genome shotgun sequence.
CAGUGCAGUCAUCCAUAAAGUAGAAAGCACUACUAAACUCAUCGCCACAGUGUAGUGUUUCCUACUUUAUGGAUGAGUGUACUGU